AGCCGUUCUUAACGGCGAGGUGGUAGCUGAGCAGUUGCAUGGGGAUGAUGUUGAGCAACCCUUGCAGGCAGUCGACCGUGCGCGGCACGCGGAUCGUCUUGCACCCCUUCGGGAUGCCGUCGUCGUCCUCGUUGCACACGAUGAUUGGCUGCGCCUUGCGGGCAGUGAUCUGCGCGUACGCGCUCUGCACCUUCGGGUACAGCGAGUCCUGCGUCAUGACGAUGAUGACGGGCAUGUUCUCGUCGAUCAGGGCGAGGGGACCAUGCUUGAGCUCGCCGG
rnacentral:misc_RNA from 1 species